rnacentral:lncRNA from 13 species
CUGCUUCAAAUCCCUCGUUUCCCUUGGCUGUACUUAAAAACAAAACCGAAACAGGGUUUCUCUAAGCACCCGGCGACUCUCGGCCGGAGGCUUUGGGCGCCGGCAUCGACGCGGCUCUCGCCGGCCACAGCCGUUGCGCGAGCUCGGGGAGGCGCCGCCGCAGGCCAUGGAGACGCCGGGCAGGGCCGCAGCGCCAGCAGGGACCAGGGGCGCCCCAGCCGCCGCCCCCCGGCGCCACGCACCCGCCUCGUCCGCGCCGGGCAACCAGCGUCGAGAUUCCCAAGCCCCGACCGCAAAGGCUCCGUCAAGACCAGGCAGCCGGGGCCGAGGCGUCCCGCGCAGGAGCUGGAACCGCCUCCGGGGUGGGGGAGGGGAGCACCCGCCACCUCACGAAGGCGGUUUCCGCGUCCAGGGAGCUCCGGUCUCGCCCGCGCUCUCCCGCUGGAAGCAGCGCCCGCACGCCGCGGCCCUGCAGCCUCCCGGCGCCCGCUCCUCCCGCGCACUCACCAGUCAGUGCCCCGGGGCCCGCCUGGCCGUCCCAGGCGCAGCGCAGAGGCAGCGGCUGCCGAGGUGCCGGAGCGCGGGCGGAGGGGCGGCGCGGUCCUUCCCGCGACGCACGGCGGCGGGCCGCGCUCCGGUCGCGGUGCUGGACAGGCUGCGCUCCGCGCGCGAGCCCCCGGCCUAGGCUCCGCGGCCGCAGCGCCCUCGCCGCCCCGCUCGGCGCCUGCGCCGCGCACCUCAGGGGCCCGCGAGAGGGCGGGGAGGCGACGGGGUGAGGUGGCGGCAGGGCGCGGGCCGCGCGAUCGCCCCGCACACGCGGCCUGGGAGCGACCACCGGCCCACAGCCCGGGGGGAGGCCCACCGGCUCGCGCCCCCUGCCGGAGGCCUUGCGCCGCCACCGGCUCCUUCCGUACGGGGAAGCGCCCCUCCUGCGCCGGGAGGGUGAGCCCAUCCUCAGGGACCGCUGCGCGCCGGGCGGCCCGGUACGCCCCGCCUCCAGCGCCCCCUCGCGCCGGGGGGAAGUGGGAGAAACGCGGCGCGCGGCAGCCCCUUUCCCACGCUCUCCUCCGGGGAAGGACGCCAGGGGUCCUGCCCGGGCAGGCGAGGCAGAGGGCGCUUCAGACCCCGGACUGCGCCCGCGGCCUGCGGCUCGGGACCCCGGAGUGCGCCCUUGUGGGGACCAAGAGGCUGAAGACCGCGUCGCGGUUUUACUGCGGCCCCACUGGAGAACCGCCCCAGGCUGGGAUGCUGCCCCCAGGGCGAGAGGGUGACACCCGAAGGCUGGCGCCGGCCUCACGCGGUUCCUUAGCCCGGGAAAUAGCGGAAGGAAUGUGCAGUUUUGGGGACUGGACUCGACCAUUUAAGUCCUUUGUCGACUUAGACUUUCUCUGA